UACGGAGGUUGCGAGCGUUAUCCGGAUUUAUUGGGUUUAAGGGGUGCGUAGGCGGGCUUUUAAGUCAGCGGUAAAAAUUCGGGGCUCAACCCCGUCCGGCCGUUGAAACUGGGGGCCUUGAGUGGGCGAGAAGAAGGCGGAAUGCGUGGCGUAGCGGUGAAAUGCAUAGAUAUCACGCAGAACCCCGAUUGCGAAGGCAGCCUUCCGGCGCCCUACUGACGCUGAGGCACGAAAGUGCGGGGAUCGAACAGG
rnacentral:rRNA from 1 species